CCUAGGUGAGUGACUUCUUCCUCCUCCGUUGCUGUUCUCUCCACAGUUUGAGAUGAUUACUGUUGGAUUAUUUCUCAGUCUGUAUUUUGCCUCAUGCUUGGACUUCACUCUAGGUCAGCCCAACUCUUCACCCACAGUCACCAUGUUCCCACCUUCCUCUGACGAUCUCAGGAGAAACAAAGCCUCAGUGGUGUGUUUAAUAGUUGGCUUCUUCCCAGAAAAUCUGUCAGUGUCCUGGAAGACAGAUGACAUUCCUAUUACCGAGGGUGUGGAGACUAGCCAGCCUUCCCAACAGAGCAACAACAAAUACAUGGCUACCAGCAUCCUGUCCAUAACAAAAGAAUUGUGGGAAUCUAAAAAGAGUUUCGGCUGCCUCGUCAUUCAUGAAGGGGGCACUGUGGAGAAGAGCCUGUUCCCUGCUGAGUAUUCCUAGGUCUUCUGACCUUCAUCUUACCCACCGAGCAUGAGAUCAGAAUCAUACCCAAGAAUACCCUUACUGCUCUUGACUAUCACAGCCCUUUUCCCUGCUCUCAAAAUGCACAAUAAAAUAUCUAUUAUCAGCCUGUAA